GAGUAACGCGUAUCCAACCUUCCGUACACUCAGGGAUAGCCUUUCGAAAGAAAGAUUAAUACCUGAUGGUAUGAUGAGAUUGCAUGAUAUCAUCAUUAAAGGUUCAUCGGUGUACGAUGGGGAUGCGUUCCAUUAGGUAGUAGGCGGGGUAACGGCCCACCUAGCCUACGAUGGAUAGGGGUUCUGAGAGGAAGGUCCCCCACAUUGGAACUGAGACACGGUCCAAACUCCUACGGGAGGCAGCAGUGAGGAAUAUUGGUCAAUGGACGAGAGUCUGAACCAGCCAAGUAGCGUGAAGGAUGAAGGUCCUACGGAUUGUAAACUUCUUUUAUAAGGGAAUAAAACCUCCCACGUGUGGGAGCUUGUAUGUACCUUAUGAAUAAGCAUCGGCUAACUCCGUGCCAGCAGCCGCGGUAAUACGGAGGAUGCGAGCGUUAUCCGGAUUUAUUGGGUUUAAAGGGAGCGCA
rnacentral:rRNA from 1 species